AGGGAUGUGGCUCAAGCGGUAGUGUGCUCGCCUGGCAUGUGGGGGGUGCUGGGUUCGAUCCUCAGCACCCCAA
rnacentral:tRNA from 1 species